rnacentral:tRNA from 1 species
AGCCUUAUAGUCAAUAAAAUGAUAUAAAAUUGCAAAUUUUAAGUAAUAUUAAAUAUUAAGGCUU